rnacentral:rRNA from 1 species
GAGACUCUGUGCGCGUGCAUAUCAAUAAGCGGAGGAAAAGAAACUAACAAGGAUUCCCUUAGUAACGGCGAGUGAAGCGGGAAGAGCUCAAAUUUGAAAUCUUCAAGGUUUUACCUUGACGAAUUGUAGUUUAAAGAAGUGUUUUCUGUUGAAGUUUUGGUAAAAGUUCUUUGGAAUAGGACAUCAUAGAGGGUGAGAAUCCCGUAUUUGACCAUUAUUUUCAGCUUCGUGAUACACUUUCAAAGAGUCGGAUUGUUUGGGAAUGCAGUCCAAAAUGGGUGGUAAAUUUCAUCUAAAGCUAAAUAUUGGCGAGAGACCGAUAGCGAACAAGUACCGUGAGGGAAAGAUGAAAAGAACUUUGAAAAGAGAGUUAAACAGUACGUGAAAUUGUCAAAAGGGAAGCGUUUAACACCAGUGUUGUUUUCUGAAAAUCAACCUCUGUUAGCUUUAUGCAUGUUUGUUUAGACCUAAUCAGCUAUCUUGCAUGUUCUAUUGUUUGCAGUGGUGCACUUUUCAGUUUACAGGUCAACAUCAGUUUUUUUUACCGUAAAAAAGUUAAAGAAAGGUAGCUCAUGGCUCCGGUCGUGAGUGUUAUAGUCUUUUUCCUAUGCGGUAGGAGAGACUGAGGUCUGCAGUGUAGGCUAUUUGGCUAGAUACUCAGGUGCUAUGUGAUACCAUUUCAUAAACAACUUGUUGAUUAUGUUUUGUCUAUUGCAUACUCGCUUGUACUAUCAUACCUACGCUUAGGAUGUUGAGUCGUAGAGCACGCAG